rnacentral:ncRNA from 14 species
CUUAGAGGGACUAUCGGCUCAAGCCGAUGGAAGUUUGAGGCAAUAACAGGUUAACAUUCACAGGCCUGUAAAAGUAGACCUCAUUAAAUAUUACUGCUAGUCGAUGCAUCGUUCUCCGCGGGGAAGCCCCCAUUUAUCGGGCGGAGAUAUGCUGAAGCAUCUGAUUACAGUGCUCAGUGUAAGAUGCCGGCGACACCACCUGGUACAGGGGACGCCUCGCGGUUUCCAAACCGAAGGCCAAUCCUGUGGCGAGCUCGGGUCGCGCUGAGCCGUCGCAACGCGCGCUAAGGGGUGGGCUAGUCCUGCGGGGCUGGCUUAAGGUACGUGCUAAUCCACCGCGAAAAGCGGUCUCGUGUGAGAAGACCCGAUAAGUCGAGUCACACGGGGGCUUCUGACAGUGAUUUGUCGUGGGGCUGGUACAGUGGGGAAUGUCAGCAUACAGGGGGAACAGUCAUGGAAGUCGUGGUUACCCUAGAACAUGCUUUAGUGACCCUAGCGCAUGGUCUAGUAGCCCUAGACUGGAGAGUCGUAGUUACUCUAGAAGACUUUUUGUUGACUGUUCUUGUUCCUUCUUGCUUGACAUAACCCACUCAACAUGCUGUGAUGCCCUUAGAUGUUCUGGGCCGCACGCGCGCUACAC